rnacentral:rRNA from 1 species
UACGGGGGGGGCAAGCGUUGUUCGGAAUUACUGGGCGUAAAGGGCUCGUAGGCGGCCAACUCAGUCGGACGUGAAAUCCCUCGGCUUAACCGGGGAAUGGCGUCCGAUACUGGAUGGCUUGAGUUUGGGAGAGGGAUGCGGAAUUCCAGGUGUAGCGGUGAAAUGCGUAGAUAUCUGGAGGAACACCGGUGGCGAAGGCGGCAUUCUGGACUGCAACUGACACUGAAGAACGAAAGCCAGGGGAGCAAACGGG